UACAGAGGUCUCAAGCGUUGUUCGGAAUUACUGGGCGUAAAGGGCUCGUAGGCGGCCAACUAAGUCAAACGUGAAAUCCCUCGGCUUAACCGGGGAACUACGCUUGAUACUGGAUGGCUUGAGAUUGGGAGAGGGAUGCGGAAUUCCAGGUGUAGCGGUGAAAUGCGUAGAUAUCUGGAGGAACACCGGUGGCGAAGGCGGCAUCCUGGACCAACACUGACGCUGAGGAGCGAAAGCCAGGGGAGCAAACGGG
rnacentral:rRNA from 1 species